rnacentral:rRNA from 1 species
AACCAGUACCGUGAGGGAAAGGCGAAAAGAACCCCGGAGAGGGGAGUGAAAUAGAACCUGAAACCGUAUGCGUACAAGCAGUGGGAGCCUACUUGUUAGGUGACUGCGUACCUUUUGUAUAAUGGGUCAGCGACUUAUAUUCAGUGGCAAGCUUAACCGUAUAGGGUAGGCGUAGCGAAAGCGAGUCUUAAUAGGGCGUUUAGUCGCUGGGUAUAGACCCGAAACCGGGCGAUCUAUCCAUGAGCAGGUUGAAGGUUAGGUAACACUGACUGGAGGACCGAACCCACUCCCGUUGAAAAGGUAGGGG